AGAUGAAAUCAUCAUCAUUUGACCAAGUCUGAUGUGAAAUUCCUUUUAAAACAGAUUAGUAAGGGAGGAGGAAGGAGAAUGAAAGAAUAAAAGAAAAUGACAGUUUACUGUAGCUGUAGCAAGAGAGAAGCUGUCUCUCACAUGGUGACAUUGACCUCAAGCCAGCUCUUCAGGGAAUGGAGAGAAUAAAUUACCAGGAUAUGAUUUUAGAAGUGAUAUCCCAGUUGAGACAGGAGGUCUUUGCAAUUAGAAGGUCAUUUGUGUGGUUAACAAUGUUGCCACAGCCCCAAUACUGCUUUCUCUCCAGCCACGGUAGAGAAAAUCAUCCAAAUUAUUUUUAGUUCUACUGAAAGCCUGUUGACUAAUUGGAGUCACCUGUGUCUUGUUUGUCACACUGAAUGAAGGAUUUGGACAAAGCCAUGUAAGAAUCUUCCCAUCCCCCGUUUUCACCUAAGUUCCUUAGACUCAGACUUGGAAAUGUUUCUGAGCCUGAGUUCUGAGAAAGAGAACUGAGCUCUAGAGGAACGUGCACUGCAUCAAGACUUUAGAAUGAAAGGACACACAAUUGGAAGAAGGAAGGAAAUGAACUAAUGGUGCAACAGAAAAACUUCAACUUAUCUGAGAAUUUUGUCACCAAAAUGUGUUUUAUGAAGAUGAGCAUCUUGCAGUGAACCAAGUUUUCUGUAAAUCUGAAAGCCACGCUAGUCUCAGUCCUCCUUAAGGCAUACCUAGUAAAGGAGGAUUAUCAUGCCUUAUCUGUUUUACAUCGGAAAUCUUAGGCAACAAAAAUAGGGAACCAAACAAAGGCUGUAAGUCAUCAUCUAAUUCUAUUAAGUUUCUUGACAAUUGUUUCAUCUUCAGUGAUGGUAUGUUGUUAUUACGAGUAUUUCUUUGAACUUUUGGGGGCUGGCAUUUCUAUGAAAUUGUAACAGAAGGUGGAGACUGUACAUU